rnacentral:lncRNA from 10 species
GGCCUGUGAUGUCAAGAGAAAACAGAAAAAGAGAAGCGAAUUCCACCUUUGCCCACUGAGAACAAAUCUACCCAACUCCUCUGUCACAACCCCUGUGAGAAGAUUCUGCCAUCUCCCAGCCCUGAAGACUGUGAGGUCAUCUGACCACCUAUUACAUUGCUAAAUAUGGCAAGAUGUCACCUGACUCGACAUUAGGCUGCCCGUCAAUCAUCACACUCCUUUUCUCCCACUUACUUUUCUAUCACCCCGUAGAAGGUUCCCAACAGCUGUCCUUAAGUCCUCCAGGCUAUAGAAACCGCUCUUGAAACAAUAUGUCAGCAUACCAUUAGUGUCCUUCAACUCACACCCUCACUUCCCAGCCCCUCCUCUGUGAACAAAGUCUCUCCUUACCUCUUCCGCCAGCACUAAUCAACCUAAUGUUCCUUCACUGUUUUCCCCCCUCCCAGCUUCCCUCCAACCUGCACCCCACACCCCCCCAUCCUUUCUCCUCUUUCUUUCCAAGUCUCCACACUAUGACCGAACACUUGUCAGAAAUGGUGCUCCCCCUGGGCCCCUCCACACCUCCUGAAGCCCAAUCCCCAUCACUUCUUACCACCCCCAGCUCUCUGAUGGCCCUGGGCCUCCCUCCCGACAGCUGAGGCCUUUCCUGGAUCUCUACACAUCACCAAGCUAAGCCAGUGUUCCAAAAUAGUCUCCUGAACAAUGAUGACAACUGCACGGUUAUUUUGGAAGAACUUCCUGGCAGCGAUGGCAGUGGAACAUUAGACACGGAGAGGAACAGGAGGUGGGAAGAGGAGGCUAAGUGCAUGUGGGCCUGAAAGUCCCUGCUUUGGGAGUUUUUUAACAGUCCUGGAUGGAGGUAAGGAGGCAGGCGUGAUUCUAAGAUCUCAAGGAAAGGAGAGUCUGUGUCACUCUUCUCUUCCCUUGGCCCUUAGACUGUUUACGAAUGAAAUAAUUUCAUCAAUUAUUUCAUUAUUUCAAUAUAGCAGAUCCCCUCACUGAGACUUCCAAAGAUUUUUAUCAACAAUUUUAUGUCACUCCCACUAACUCUUUGAAAGUAAAUGACAGAAUUUAUUUUCCCGUUUAAAAAACAGAAACACAAAGACCCAGCGGAGUCUGCAUUUUCUAGGUUUAGUCAGCCAUUCUGGAAGCUGUGUCCUGGUAACCACAGUGUCCCAGCUAUGAACUCCAGGCAAGUGUACAGCAUCAUCUUCCAUUCACCAUGUGGUUACUGCACUUCUCAUACAAACUACCUGCGUCACUCAGUUAUCCACUAUCAAGGACUAUGCCACACUCCCUAGAGCAGAUGCAGGGCACUUAGAGAUUAAUAAAACAGGCUGGGCACAGUGGCUCAAGCCUGUAACCCCAGCACUUUGGGAGGCUGAGAUAGAAGAACUACUUGAGCCCAGGAGUUCAAGACCAGCCUUGGCAACCUAGUGAGACCCCCAUCUCUACUAAAAAAUAAAAAACUAGCCUGGCAUGGUGGCACCUUCCUGUGGUCCCAGCUACUUGGGAGGCUGAGAUGGGAGGAUCCCUUGAGCUCAGGAGGUUGAGGCUGCAGUGAGUUGUGAUUGCACCACUGCACAGCAGCCUGGGCAACAGAGCAAGACCCUGUCUCAAAAAAAUUAAUUAAAUAAAUAAAAAUAAAAAUAAAACACUUUUAGAGUUCAAGUCUUAAUCGCCAUAUGGCUUUGAGCAACUUAUUUUAUCUCACUAUGCCUCCAUUUCCUAGACCUGGAAACGAAAAUAAGAGAGAAUGAAAUUUAAACAGCUUCUCAGAAGAGUAUGUAAGUUAAGCCACAUAAAGCAUAUAAAUAUCAGUCACUUAGUAGCCACUCGGCACAUGGUAAUUACAAAGCAUGGUGCCAUAAGAAGUUGCUGGGGAGGCAGACAUGUAAAUGAAUGCAGAAAAUAUAUGAGGAAUACUAAAAUAGAAAUUAAAGUGUCCUGUGGCUUUUUCGUCCACAUAGACGAGUGUCAAAGCUAGUAUCUCUCUGGGAGGAUCAUGGCAGACAGGAGGCAGGCCUAGAUUGCAGCUCCCACUCAGACGGACAGAGCAGCAUGUGGAGUAUUGCAUCAUGAACUUUUGCUCCAGAAUGACUGCAGGAAGAAAUCAGGAAAGCCAAGAGAACCCACAGACCCUCUGAAGGAAGUGAAUUGCUCCUGCAUGACCUGGGAGACACCCCAAAUACCGUGAGUGCCCAAACUAUGGAAGUGGGAAAGGGGCAUCAUUCAGUCCCAAACACACAACCUCACUGGGGAACCUCAAGAUCUAGAUCACCAGAGAAGAUUCUAACAUUACCUGGAGCUGAGUCAAUUUAGAGAGCCGAGUGAAACGCAGGGGUAGAAGAAGCAGUGGGAAAAUCCCUGUGGGCUCUCUGGGUGCCCUAGCAAGCCAUUUCUGCCUUGCCUCCCAGGGGUCAUUGGGGAGGGCUACCAGAGGCACUGGGAAAAGGCCACAGGGAGAAGGAAGCCUCCAGCUGAACUUCGUAACAAUUCCAACUGAACAAGAAGUCUCCUGGCCAGAACUACAGGGAGGGCGUGAAUCCUGUGUGCAGACCACAGGUGGGGAAGCACGAAGGGUUCACAGCUUUCACAGCUGGGAGGCUGGUAGCCUGGGGCAAGCUCUCAGCCCUGCUUGUCCACUGCCUGGACACAGACUUAGUGCUGUUGAGCAGGGAAUGGUGAGAGUGAGACUGGCCCUUUGGGUUGUGUGGGAGCUGGGUGAGGCCUGUGAUUGCCAGCUUUCCCUCACUUCCCUGACAACCUGCAUGACACAGCAGAGGCAGCAUAAUCCUCCUAGGAACACAACCCCAUUGACCUGCGAACCACACCUCCAUCCCCCACAAGCAAGACCCACUCAAGGAGAGUCUGAACUCAGACAUGCCUAGCACUGCCCCCACUUAAUGGGCCUUCCCUACCCACCCUGGUAGCUGAAGACAAACAGCAUAUACUCUUGGGAGUUCUAGGGCCCUACCCACCGCCUGAUCCCUCCCAUACUACCACAGCUGAUGCUCUCUGGAAAGUGCCACCUCCCAGCAGGAAGCCAACCGGCUCAAAAAUAGUGCAUUAAACCACCAAAACUAAGGACCCUCACAGAGUCCAUUUCACCCCCCACCACCUCCACCACAGCAGGCAUUGGUAUCCACAGCUGAGAGACCCACAGAUGGUUCACAUCACAAGACUCUGUACAGACAACUCCCAGUGCCAGCCCAGAGCCUGGUAGACCUGUUGGGUGACUAAAUUCAGAAGAGAGAUAAUAAUCACGACAGCUCAGAUCUCAGGAAGCCACAUCCCUAGGAAAAGGCGGAGGGUACUACAUCAAGGGAACACCCUGUGGGACAAAAGAAUCUGAACAACAGCCUCGAGCCCUAGACCUUCCCUCCGACAGAGCCUACCCAAAUGCGAAGGAACUAGGAAACCAACUCUGGUAAUAUGAGAAAACAAGGCUCUUUAAUACCCUCCAAAAAAAUCACACUAGCUCACCAGCAAUGGAUCCAACCAAAAAAAAUCCCUGAUUUACCUGAAAAAGAAUUCAUAAGGUCAGUUAUUAAGCUAAUCAAAGAGGUGCCAGAAAAAGGCAAAGCCCAAUUUAAGGAAAUAAAAAAAAAAUACAAAAAGUAAGGGGAGAAAUUUUCAAUGAAAUAGGUAGCAUAUAAUAAAAAGCAAUCAAAACUUCAGGAACCAACGGAUGCAGUUAUAGAAAUUCAAAAUGCUCUGGAAAGUCUCAGCAAUAGAAGCGAAUAAGCAGGAGAAAGAACCUCAGAGCUCAAAGACAAGGUUUUCAAAAUAAUCCAACAAAGACAAAGAAAAAAGAAUAAGAAAAUAUGAACAAAGCCUCCAAGAAGUCUGGGAUUAUGUUAAAUGAGCAAACCAAAGAAUAAUCGGCAUUCCUAAGAAGAAGAGAAAUCUAAGAGUUUGGAAAACAUAUUAGGGUAUCCACUACUGGGUAUCUACCCAGAGAAAAAGAAGUCAUCACACGAAAAGGAUGCUUGCACACAUAUGUUUAUAGCAGCACAAUUCUCAGUUGUAAAAAUGUGGAACCAACCCAUAUGCCCAUCAAUCAGUGAGUGGAUAAAGAAACUGCAGUAUACAUAUACAAUGGAAUACUACUCAGCCAUAAACAGGAAUGAAUUAAUGGCAUUCACAGCAACCUGGAUGAGAUUGGAGACUAUUAUUCUUAGUGAAGUAACUCAGGAAUGGAAAACCAAACAUUGUAUGUUCUCGAUCAUACGUGGGAGCUAAGCUAUGAGGAUACAGAGACGUAAGAAUGACACAGUGGACUUUGGGGACUCAGGGAAAAAGGGUGGGAAGGGAGUGAUGAAUAAAAGACUACAAUUUGGGUGCAGUGUAUACUGCUCAGGCGAUGCGUCCACCAAAAUCUCACAAAUCACCACUAACGAUCUUACUUAUGUGGCCAGGUGCAGUGGCUCAUGCCUGUAAUCCCAACAC